UCAGUGCAGGAAAAAGGUUUAGAGGUCCUAUCACAACAGGUUUUUUUUUUUUUAAGCUAGAUAUGGCAGGGAGCACCUUUCAUCCCAAAUAUGGCAGAAAAUGUGCAUAGGAUUGUGGUCCAGAUGGAUCAACCAAAAAGUAAGAGUGUAUCUUAAAAAACAACAACAACUAAUAGGGCUGGAAAAAUGGCUUAAAUGGUAGAGUGCCUGCCUCAAAAACAUUAAACCCAAAGUUCAAUAUCCAAUGCUCCCCACAAAACACAGAAAAAGUAUCUUGGUAGGAGAAUGGCAAGGAAGAUCUUGAAAGAAGAGGAAGAUGUUGAAAGGUAAUGUCUUUGUUACUGCUGCAGUAACUGAAUCCCUGAGACUGGGUAGUUUAUAGAAGAGGUUUAUUCCUCCAGCUAUGGCCUGUUGCCUUGCAGAUUAGCUGAAGAUAAUCUAGUGGAAGGUUGAGUAGACACAUGGAAAAGAGAAAACCCCUAAGAGACAGCCUUGGUUUGGAACAAUCCACCCUUAAGAAAACUAAUCCAGUUCUCAGAGCUUACUCUCAAGAGAAUGAGCCCAGUCCCUCAAUAACGGCAUUAAUCUCUUUAUGUAGGUCAAGCCAUCCCAACCAAAGGCCUUAAGGUUCUACCAACUCUCAAUACAGUUUUAUUGGCGAAAGGGACAAACCACAUCCAAUGAAUCUGUUGCAAUGACUGAGAAUUUGUGAGGCCAAAGUAGGAGCCAGGGGCUGCACAAAGGCUGGGAACUUCUAGCAGAGUGACAAAGCUAGAUACCUCCGAGCUGUUAUGGACUGAUUGAUGCAGUUACUUGCUGUCGGCUGGGGCUGGAAGGUAGGGUACAAAUGGGGAGGGCAGAGGUAUGAAGAGGCCUUUACCAAUUAUUAUCACUGCGGUUCUGAGACUGCUUCAUACUUACUAGGCAGGCACUCUAUCACUUAUGCCACACCACUACCUCCCCCCACUUUUCUUUUUAGCAACAGUCCUGGGGCUUGAACUCAGGGCCUGGGCAAUGUCCCUGAAUUUUUUUUACUCAAGGCUAGUAGUACUCUACCACUUGAGCCACACCUCCACUUCUGGCUUUUUGGUGUUUAAUAAGAAGAGCCACCUCAAUUGGUUCUUCCUAUACUGAUUCAAUUUAGCAUUCUUAUGAAUGUUUCAUCACUGAGGCUCAUUGGUUGUCACUGGCUGGGAGUUUCUAAAGAGUACUUGGCCUACCUAACACAUGAGAAGUGAGGAUUGGGACCAAUAUCCAUUCAAGUUUCAUGCAUUUGACGAUUUGAAAUUUGUGUGGAGGUGAGUAUGGCAAAAGGAAUUAAGAAAACUGUCAUCAAUACUGUACUCUUUAAUCUUGAUUUCUGAGUGUGUAGCAGAAAUACAUUCAGAAGAAUAAAAGAAAACAAG